rnacentral:rRNA from 1 species
CCUACGGGAGGCAGCAGUGGGGAAUAUUGCACAAUGGGGGAAACCCUGAUGCAGCGACGCCGCGUGAGUGAUGAAGUAUUUCGGUAUGUAAAGCUCUAUCAGCAGGGAAGAUAAUGACGGUACCUGACUAAGAAGCUCCGGCUAAAUACGUGCCAGCAGCCGCGGUAAUACGUAUGGAGCAAGCGUUAUCCGGAUUUACUGGGUGUAAAGGGAGCGCAGACGGCAGGGCAAGUCUGAUGUGAAAGUCCGGGGCUCAACCCCGGGACUGCAUUGGAAACUGUCCGGCUAGAGUGUAGGAGAGGUAAGUGGAAUUCCUAGUGUAGCGGUGAAAGGCGUAGAUAUUAGGAGGAACACCAGUGGCGAAGGCGGCUUACUGGACUGUAACUGACGUUGAGGCUCGAAAGCGUGGGGAGCAAACAGGAUUAGAUACCCGAGUAGUC